UCUUUAUAUAGAAACUUUUACCGAUUAUUGAAGUUAACUAAGCGAAACCUAAAUAUAUUUAGUUGGGGUGACACGAAGUCAUAAACACUUCUUUCUAGACGAAUAUUUAAGGAUUAAUGACCCGGUUAGCCGAUCAAAAAAGUAAGU
rnacentral:rRNA from 1 species